rnacentral:ribozyme from 1 species
UUGUGUUUGCUUUUUUUUUUUUUUCUUUUUUUUUUUUUUUUUUGUUUAAUAUAAUAAUUAUAAGAUAAGAGUUUCUAGUAGACUCAAAGAUAAAUGUAGUCGAUAGGGUCUAGUUUGUACCCUCUAAUCUUAUAAAACUCUUUUUCCCUCUAGCCCAACUGGGAAAUUUUAGCUUUCGGGCCAUUGUAAAUGCCGCUCAUAUUUCUAGUAACGUUGAUAGCCCCAUUGAUUUCCACUUCAUUAAACUGGGCAUUCUACGAAACAACUAGUAUAGAAUUGUCGGAAAUUUUGCAUUAGUCCCCAGUAAUGUGAAUAAUAUCUGAAAG